AGAGUUUGAUUCUGGCUCAGGAUGAACGCUGGCGGCGUGCCUAAUACAUGCAAGUGAAACGGGUAUCUUCGGAUACCAGUCGCGGACGGGUGAGUAAUACAUAGGCAACCUGCCUUUAUGAGGGGGAUAACCGAGGGAAACUUUGGCUAAUACCGCAUGAAGACUCUAAGGCAUCUUAGAGGGAUAAAAGUUGGGAAACAACGCAUGAAGAUGGGCUUAUGGCGCAUUAGCUAGUUGGUGAGAUAGAAGCCCACCAAGGUAAUGAUGCGUAGCCGACCUGAGAGGGUGAACGGCCACAUUGGGACUGAGACACGGCCCAAACUCCUACGGGAGGCAGCAGUAGGGAAUUUUCGGCAAUGGGGGGAACCCUGACCGAGCAACGCCGCGUGAAAGGAAGAAGGUUUUCGGAUUGUAAACUUCUGUUAUAAGGGAAGAACGGAUUGGAUAGGGAAUGAUCUGAUAGUGACGGUACCUUAUUAGAAAGCCACGGCUAACUACGUGCCAGCCGCAGC
rnacentral:rRNA from 1 species